GCCAAAGAAGAACAUCACAUAUGAUGACAAAGUGUAUAGAGAUAAAUGUCACAAAUAUCAUUAUUACAUAGCGGAAGUCUUACAAAAAUAAAUAAGAACAAUAAAGUGAACUAAGUAUUAUUCCUUGAUGCCAUCAAGCUGACUGGGAGACGCCACCUAGAUAAGCUCGUACUCCUCGUUGUAGGUUUCCUCCUGAACCACCUGUUCUUCUCCUGUGGGGGGUUUAUAUAUCGCAAGGGUGCGAUCACAAAAGAUCAUAACUCAACAAGUUGUGGGUAAUAAUGUGCAUGAACACACCAAAGGUGGGAGUUCACGUGGAGUGUAAGGCUGAUCAAUAAAUAAGGGUUAAAGCUGAGCAUUGCUUUUAAUAAGUUGGUCAAGUUUUAUUAACAGUUACUAAAUGUAAGUAGAUAUCAAACCAGAUUAAUAAUAGAUCAAAAUUAAUAAUAAAACCACAAUGUGAUGCAAAAUGAUAAAGUGAGUUUAAUUCUAUAAAUUAAUCAUGCGAGAGUCUUGAGCUACUCAUGACCGCGAGCACUGCAGUAUACCAAUUUUACACUCUGCAGAGGUUGUACCCUUUACCCACAAGUCAUGUCACCCGGUUGCCAAGGGGUCUAGAAGUCCCAUUCAUCUCUACCGAGGAGACGAGGCAGGGUAACACUACGAGGCCUUUACAAAGUUCCACUAGCUUUAGAAAACUCG
rnacentral:lncRNA from 1 species